CUUGAGUAUGAUGAAUUAAUUUUGGUAGUAAUAAUUAUAUUUAACCCAUAAAAUUUAUCCUACGCUAUGAAAAUACAUGUCAACAGGAUGAAAAAUACAACAGAAUAUGAAUAUUGAGUACACCUUGGCAUGUGGCUAACACAAUAUUAGGUGAAUCGGUGGAGAAUGCAGCCUGUUGUUCUGCAACUGAUUUUGUUGGAGAAGCAAAAAUAAAUUAACAGAAAGGAUGUGCUCCAAGUUGGUUCAAUAACAAAUAAAAGUCAAUAACAUUAUCCAGACCCCACAAACUUUAAUUUGCAAAAUGUUAGAGCUAAUUCCAGCAAAAUAUGACAUCUGCAAUAUGGAAACAAAAUGCAAAUCUUUUAGUGCCUUUGGAAUUGAGAAUUCAUGAUGAUAAUAAUUUUGAGAAUAAAUUAAAAAAGUUAUUGUUCAGUUCCUUUCUUGAAGUUUAAAGUUGUCACUAUUGAUAUGUUGUCACAUCAGAUUCAAUUUCGCUACGCAGCAUUUCCCUAAUGCGUCUUCUUAUCAGCUGCAUCAAAGAUAAGAAGUUAGCUUCGUGGGUAUCAUCAUCUUCUUUAAAAAUAAAUAAAUCAGCAAACACUUGAUCUAUUUAACUAAAGAGAAAAAAUAAUGUCUUAAAUAUUAACAUGUUAGGAUUUUUUGAUCAAUUCCAAGAACCAAUAUCAUUUACCUUGAGAUUCUUUGAUGUGGUCUACGAUGAGUUUAUAUCUUUGCAUCCGGAGUGCAAUGCAUGGUGAUAGAAGAAUUAUUAUCCCAAUAUAAUGUAGGUGCUUCCUACCAUGAGAAAGCAUAAAGUAGGACGCAAAAAGAAGACAAUUAGGAAGCUAUUGUAGGACUAUAUCUAUUCAAAAUCAGAGGACAUUGUCAAACUCAACUCAACAAUAUAUUAAAAAGAGAAACUCAGCAGUAGCUAUGGCUAAAGUUCUUUCUGAAGCAAUGCGAAUACCAAGCAUACAAAAUUUAUAAGUAUAAAAAUUACCUCUCUUUUUCCCCUUUAGUUCUUUUCUUGUUUUCAUUUUUUCUUACUUUGUUUUCUCCUCCUCUUUUCCAGCCACCUCUUUCACCAUCAGCCAUGCUCCCACUAACAUUGUUCCCUCCACCCAUUUUCUUUUAAUUUUCUUCAAUUUCUUUUAGUUCUUUUCACUUUAUCCCUCAAACCUAGCCUAUCUUUUAAAUUUAUUUUAUCCAUUUGAAACUUUUCACACUCUUUAACAGGAGGUAAAAUACCUUUUUUAAAAGUGCAAAAAAUCAUGAAAAAAGGUUAAGGUUAAGUGUAGAGUUCCACGGAGUAGUUACUUCGUACAGACUGACUAAAUAGUGUAGUGGUACUGAUAUUUAAUAUUAGAUUUGUAUUCACAUAAUAGAAACAUAUAAAAUGGAACAAAUGACUUGGUGACAUCUACUACUGAUCUUACCAAAUUUACCGGAGUGAAAUAAAAGGAACAAAUUAGUGUUUAAUCAUUCAUAUAUCUUCUGAUAUGGUCCGUGAAGAGCUCAAGUCAUGUUGUAUCUAGAGUAAUAUCAUCAUAAUCAUGAGGCUACAAUGAAAUUGAAAGAUUACUGGGCAAUUCUUCCAAUGGAAAAUCCACAUCAAACAGAAACAUUUGAAACAAUAGGCAUGUGCAGAAUAUGAUAAAACUCAUAUAUGCACUUCCAUGAAUUUUUUUCUUUUAUUCAAGGAGUCAAUAUAUCCAUAUUCAUGAAUUCCUUUAUCUUAUCAAAAGUUCCAGACAAAUAAAAACAAAUUUCUAACAUUUUUGUGUUUUAUUUAAAUUUCUCCUAAUUUUACUAUCUUGCACCUCAGGCAAUUUGAAUGAUUUUUCCUACUCAAGCGCUCCAAUUUGAAUGUAGAGGAAACCAAUUCCAAGUUUUCAUAAUAAUAGUCAGAAAAAUCAGAAGGAUUUUAAGAUAGUUGUACUUGAUAAGACUAGCUAAAGAUCUAACUAUAUUAGAGGUUAUUACGAACAUUGUAUCUAAAGAAUUCACAUGAUAAUCAAGCUUCAUAAGCUGAAGUUUGGCUAACCAAUAAUUUUGAACUAAAAAUACUAAACAUGGCUUACCUGUUAUAUAAUCUUGUUGGUGGUUCUAGUUUCAGCAUCACACUUGUAAUUUCAGGUUUUGUAAUUGCUUCUUCCAUUUCUCGUACAAUUGUGCUUGGAAACUUCAUUUCCUUUUGUUUCUUUCACCAGCACUUAUUGGAAACAUAUGUUCCUUUUUCAAUAUAAGAUAAACCCAAUAGUCUAGCAUGCAUGAUGUCAUAAUUUCUCCAGACCAAUUUUUUUAAAUUGAAUUCGAAACAGUUGGUCUGACAAUUGUUCUUGGACAUGCUUAACGCAGAGGAUCUUCAUCUGAAGAUAAAACAAUUUAAGUUCUUUAGAUAUAAAAGAGUAGGAGAAUAAAGCUAAAAAGAGCAUACAUAUAUAAAAAAAAUAAGAAUACUUUGAUUUCUCGAAAGUAUUAAGUACAUCCCUCAAUCGAAAGAUACCAAAGAAUCUCAAAGUAACUAAAGCAAUGCAAAGCCCUGCCCCGCAGAACUUGUUUGACUGCUAAAGUAAGACAGAAAUAUAAAAAAGAAUUGAUUAACCAAUUAAAGAUAAAUAGCAAUCAAACUAUCAUAAUCUACACAUGAAGUAGCCAUGAAUAAUUCCAAAUUUACAGGUACUGAAAUUUUAGUAGAUAAAAUGUAUAAUUGAUUGAAAAUAUACCUUGACGAAAAUUGUCGCGCAGAUUUCUUCAGUUGUCAUUGAGAAUAACUUUUUUCUAAGAUCACUAGAAAUUGUAGCAAUUGUUAUCCCACUUUCAUCUCAGUAAGAUCAAUUUAGAAUAAUCCCUCAUAGGACAACGUAAAAAAUAAUCACUCACAUGAACAAUAUGCCAAUGAGGCUACUUUCUAAACAAGAUCAUUUUAAUACGACUCUGAUCCUUCGAGAAAUUAAAAAAAAUCAAUUAACUCGCAGAAUCAAAUUACAAAAGAAAUUAUGCAGAGUUAAAGAAAGUAAGUUGAUGGUUUCCAAUAAUUGAAUGUCUGGUUCUUCAACAGUAAGCCACUUAAUUACCAAAACAAACUCAAUCCAAACAUCACAAAUAAUAACAUAUAUUAAUAACAUAAAAAUCUCAAUUAAUGUUAUACGCUCACUCAUCAUUCGUUUCUCCCAAAUUCUAGCAGGUCUAAUUAAUAUGUCAAUAAAGAUGGGAAGAAAUCACCCGCAAAAUAAAUCUCCUAAAGAUCACUGAUCAAUGAGCUAAGGAUUGAAUCACCUACAUAAAAUAUAAUUUAGAGACACAAAAUGCAAUCAGGGAAAACGAUCUUCAAUCUCUACUGGACUAAGGAUCAAUAUAUCAGACCAAAUUACUGACAUGCAUGUAGAAAAUCCUACAAUUAACUACCAAAAAGAACUCAAAAAGAGAGAGAGUGUGUGUGUGUGUGAGAGAGAGAGAGAGAGAGAGUCGGAGACUAAUAUAUACCUAGCAGAUAGUGAUUAGCAACUAAAAAGGUACAACAAACAAUAAAACAGAUGUAAGGAAAAACUCACCAAAAUGAAGCUCACACUUUGAAUUAAUGAACACCAGAGAGAGAAUUAAAAAAUAUUUGAGAAACUCCCAAAAAGGAGAAACAGAUCAGUUAGAUGGAGAAUCAGAAUAAAAGGUGAUUGGAUUCGACAAUGACCAUGGUAGAGUAUCAAAAAAGCAAGACGCGUGUUUAUAG
rnacentral:lncRNA from 1 species